ensembl:lncRNA
AGCUUGUAUAUGUUGAAACGAAAUGACGUUCUCCAGGACCACAGUACAACACGUAACAGUACACAAGACAAGGCAGAAAAGUGUGACACGAGUGCAGGACAUGGAACUCUCACUCAGCGGUGCGUCAGGUCUCGAUGUGCGCAGGAAGACUGCAGCAGCUGCAGAUCUGAACACACCUACUGAUCACAGAACAGUGCUCUGCGUUAAGAGGCCAAACUCAUGGGGAUAUAAACAAGAAUAAUUACUACUUCUCUCCGGCAUGUAACGCAUUUCACUCCUUUCUCUUCGGUCAGAAGUUUGCACAGAUUUAAUCACAGGAUGUUCAUCGUGUGAUGGUCUGAAGCAACGCAGCGUCACGAGGAUAUGACUCUCACUUCCUGUUCUUCCUGCUCAGAAAUGAAUGAGUGUUUCUUUAACCUUUAACACAUCUGUAGCUGAUGAGACGGAGAUGUGGGAAUAGUCGAUGUAAAUGUCAUGUCGGGAAUAGAACACUUGGGGGCGUCGGAGGAAAACGUGCCGCAUUCGAUUGAAACUCGAUUUGUAUUUCAUUAAAGAACACAUCGUAUUCUUUAUCCGUUUGUGUUUUAAUGUUACGUUCUGAUUCGAACUCUCGUCUCGGCUUCAGCUCCACACCAUGGUGUCGUAUAAGAGGCUGACCCCAGAGGAGGUCAACUUCUCCGGCGUGCCUUUACUGCAGUCUCAUGAUGAUUCUCAGGACAGUGAGCUGAAGGUGGAAGAUGCAGAGCGCCCUCUGCUGGCCCGGAGGCCUCAGUGCUCCGUCACUUCUGCCCUGUUGACCCUAGGAGGCUUUAUCCUCGUAGUCCUCGGUGUCUGGUUACUAGGAAACCGUGCUUUGGCUGCGUAGUACCGCUUCCAUAGGAAUCCACCGCCCUCCAUCACCCGGCAAAGACAACCGGACACGACCGGAAUCCUGCUCCGUUAUUCCAGAAUCCUGGAGGUUCGACUGCUAUCCAGAGAGAGGUGUUGUGGUGGACUGAGGAUUUGUGUCACUCCAGGAACUGUUGCUUUGCACGUGCAGCCACUGAGCAGAGCGGUGUCCCGUGGUGCUAUUAUCCAACAGAUUUUCCAUCGUAUACGCUAGCGGCUAUUAACGACACCGAGACGGGAUCGAUCGGGGAAACUGGUCCGUACUCAGAAGACGUAUUAUCCUAUGGAUAUUGAGGUGCUGAGGCUGGAUGUGCUGUACGAGUCGAACAGCAGACUGCGUGUAAAAAUAACAGAUCCCGCACAGCAGAGGUUCGAGGUUCCUAUAGAUGUUCCUGUGGUGGAAAAACGAGCUCCGAAUCCCUUGUACACAGUGGAGUUCUCCAAACAGCCGUUCGGGAUCAUCGUUAAGAGAACACAAACCGGAGCUGUGCUGUAAGUACGUGUGUGAGAGAGAAAGGUGAAAAGGAAAAAAACAUUUACAAGUGAGGAGUAACUGAGAUUUGUUUUACUCAGUUAAUGAUGAUGAUGAUG